rnacentral:rRNA from 1 species
UACGUAGGUGGCAAGCGUUAUCCGGAAUUAUUGGGUGUAAAGCGCGCGUAGGCGGUUUUUAAGUCUGAUGUGAAAGCCCACGGCUCAACCGUGGAGGGUCAUUGGAAACUGGAAAACUUGAGUGCAGAAGAGGAAAGUGGAAUUCCAUGUGUAGCGGUGAAAUGCGCAGAGAUAUGGAGGAACACCAGUGGCGAAGGCGACUUUCUGGUCUGUAACUGACGCUGAUGUGCGAAAGCGUGGGGAUCAAACA